UCAUCAUCACAAUUGACCACAUACACAUGUGUUCAUUCUCACAAAACAAAAUGUUAAGAUACGGACACAGAAACACAGAUUGCGUUAGAGAGAGAAACCUCGGAUCGAAAUUGUUCUUCUAAAGUUCUUAUUUUUCUAACAACUAUCCAUAUAUUGUUCAACUCUUUCCCUUUGAAUAUGACAUUAUGUAACUGAGGAUUGAGAUAGAUAUAGUGUGCAUGUGAAGACAAGGACAUUUCCAGAAAAAGUGUUUCUUAAAGACCCAGCAAAAAUCCAGGCCUCUGAUUCCUGAAUACACACUCCCCUACAAUGCCAACACCAAUACUGUCUUCACGAUUACGAUUGCAAUCUAUUUCUAUUUGGUGGGGGAUCUAAAAAAUUUGAGCUUGGAUGCAAUGUGGGUUGAAUUAGGGCAGUUAUAGGUGUCCUACCUGUCAGGGUGACCCUCUUGGAUCUUCCACACAAUGGCAUUGUUCCGCAAGUUCUUCUAUAAGAAGCCCCCAGAUGGGCUUCUAGAAAUCACUGAAAGGGUUUAUGUCUUUGAUUACUGCUUUACCACGGAUGUUAUGGAAGAAGAAGAAUAUAGAGUGUAUCUAGGAGGAAUAAUUGGGCAACUUCGUGGUCACUUCCCUGAUGCUUCAUUUAUGGUGUUCAACAUGAGGGAGGGAGACUGCCAAAGCCAGAUUUCAAACAUUUUGUGUGACUACGAUAUGACUGUGAUAGACUAUCCUCGACAGUAUGAAGGGUGCCCAUUGCUUACCAUGGAGAUGAUCCAUCAUUUCUUGAGAUCAGGUGAAAACUGGCUUGAACUUGGGCAUCACAAUGUUGUCUUGAUGCAUUGUGAACGAGGUGGGUGGCCGUUAUUAGCAUUUAUGCUGGCUGCACUCUUGAUUUAUAGAAAGAUGUUUACAGGGGAGCAAAAAACACUAGACAUGAUAUACAAGCAAGCUCCUCGGGAACUUCUGCAGUUGAUGUCACCAUUGAAUCCUUUAGCUUCACAAUUGAGAUAUCUUCAGUACAUAUCAAGAAGAAAUGUUGGUUCAGAAUGGCCUCCUCUUGAUAGGGCACUUACUUUGGACUGUGUAAUUAUAAGACUCAUUCCUAACAUGGGUGGAGAGGGUGGCUGCCGUCCUAUAUUUAGAAUAUACGGGCAAGACCCUUUUAUUCCUGCAGAUCGAACUCCCAAAGUUCUCUUCUCAACUCCAAAAAGGAGCAAACUUGUUCGCUACUGUAGGCAGGUGGUACCCAAGUCCUUUUACCCUAAUUUAAUAUGCUUUUUAACACCCUUUCUUUUGUUCUUGCUACCUAUAUUGAGAUGUUCCUUCCAUUAUAUGUUCUUACUACCCGAAAUGUUUUUUUUUUUUUCAUAUUUGUUUCAGACUGACUGUGAACUGGUUAAGAUUGACAUCCACUGUCAUGUUCAAGGUGAUGUCGUUUUUGAGUGUAUUCAUCUGCACAGUGAUUUAGAGCAUGAAGAAAUGAUGUUUCGGGUGAUGUUUAAUACAGCAUUCAUAAGAUCAAAUAUUUUGAUGCUUAACCGUGAUGAAAUUGACAUACUAUGGAAUGCUAAAGAUUGCUUCCCUAAGAAUUUUAGAGUGGAGGUUCUUUUCUCAGAUAUGGAUGCUUCAACUUCUGUUAUUUCAAUUGAUCUGCCUCGUGUUGAGGAGAAAGAUGGCCUCCCUGUUGAAGCAUUUGCGAAGGUCAAGGAGAUUUUCAGCAAUGUGGAUUGGCUAGAUUCAAAGGAAGAAGUAGCAAGUGUGCUCCAACAGAUCACAUCUUCAAAUAUCCUUCUGGAAAGAUUAGACUCUGGGGUUUCUGCUGCAACAAGUGACUUGCAAAAGGAGUCAUCUGAAAAGUCUACAGCUGUUUUGAAGGCAUACAGUGAUACAAACAUUCAAACUUCUGCAGUUCAGGGGAAACAUUCUAUAUCCUCAUUAGGAUCGUCUUUGGAUUUAGCUAUGGGAAAUAAGACCGAACCAUUAGAGUCAAAGACAUUGUCCAAAAAUGACAUUGAGACUCUUGAAUGUUCAGGUCAAGGGAACCAACCUAUUCACUCAUUUGGGCUCUCAAAAGAUUCAGAUUCUACUAAAAGGGGGACUGAGUCAUUAGAAUCCAAGGAGAAGGAUAUUGAGUCAUUAGCAUCCACUGAUGCAGAUUCAUUGGCAAAGAAGACUGAUUUGUUAGGAUCAAAGGAGAAAACAUUUGAGUCACUCAACUCCGAGGCAUUUUUGGAAAAUGAUAGCAGAUUCAAAUAUGAACCUAGGCCACUUGCAGAAGUUGAUAACUCAUCUGGUAGUGCUCCUAUGGAAAAGAACAAUGACCCUCUAGAAUUAAAGGUAUCACCAGAAAAUACCCUCAAGACUUCUGCUUCCACGAGUCAGGGGAAACAGCUUACUCCCUCAUUUGGACUCAUAACAGAUUCUAGUUCUCCUGAAAAGCCAGUUGAAUCAUUAGACAAUGCCAAGGUUACAACAUCUAUGCCUCAUGUGGAGAAGUCUAUGCCUCAUGUGGAGAAGUCUAUGCCCUCAAUUGAACCAUAUAAGGAUGCAUAUUCAAUGACACAUGACAUGGGACCAUUAGAAACAAAGUCAUUAACGGAUGGAAAUUCAAUAAAAGAGAAAAUGGGGCAAUUAGAGCAAAUGGUAUUGUCAGAAAAUGAUACCAAGAGUGUCACAUCCACAGCUCAGGGGAAACAAUAUAGUUCUUUACUUGAACAGCCCGUUGAAGCAAGCACAAUUAAAACGAAAAUUGAACCUCUUGAAUUGCAGGUUUCCCUCCAGCUUCCCACUCAAUCAAAAAUAAUUUCUUCACCGGUGCGUCCAGCUGUCCGAUCUGCUUCUGCUUCCACUUCUUAUUUUAACUCCUUAAAAGGUUCACCUGUAGCUAUCUCAAGAUAUCGUAGUGCACCAUCAGCUCUUGGAAUAACAUCUGUGUUGCAGGAUCAUGCAGCAGUGGAUAUCAAAGAAGUAACUCAUCCAGUGACAGUAUCUCCUCCAGCUUCUGUGUUGCCUCCUUCAGACUCCAAGGUGUUAAAUUCUGUAGAGCCUAGUCCCACAGCUAUUCCUCCAGCAUCAUCAUCGCCUUUGCUUCCAUCUUUACCUUUAAAAACUUCAGUUGAUGCUCUUAAAACCACGGAAAAAACUUUUGAAUCCCUUUCUCCUGCAGCUGUAACUACACCACCUCCACCACCUCCACCACCACCACCACCACCACCAUCUUCUCAAUGCGAUCACACUUCAAAUUUGAUGCAAUCUAAUGCUACUCAGUACCCUGAGAAUACAAAUGAGGGUAAGAAACCAUUGGUUGGUCCUCCUCCUCCUCCCCCAUCCCCUUCAAUGCUCGCUCCUCCAAUCCCAUCAUUUUCUCCAGCCCCUUCCCUUCCUGAAACAUCACUUUCCACAACCCAAGAUUCAUGUAAAGGUCCUCCUGCACCGCCACCUCCACCUGCGCUGUCUGGGUUUCCUUCUUCAUUGGGUAUAAAUGAAUCAGUUGCUAUACCUGGCCCUCCUCCUCCUCCCCCGCCUCCACCUCCUAGCCUUUCAAGUUCUGCACCACCAUUAGCACCACCACCACCACCACCCCCUCCUUCCGCUUCUGCAUUCCAAAAUUCUUUGUCUGAGAACUCCAAAAAUGGUCCUCCUGUACCCCCACCUCCACCUCCUAGCCUUCCUGGUUCAACAAUAUCACCUUCAGCGCCACCACCACCUCCUCCUCCAGGUUCUGCGUCCCAAAAUUCUUUGUCUAGCUCCACAAAUGUUCCACCUGUACCCCCACCUCCCCUUUCUGCCAAUGGAUUGUCAAAACCUGGAGUUCCUGGACCACCUUCUGUUCCUGGACCACCUUCUGCUCCUGGACCACCUUCUGCUCCUUUUGGUGAAAAGGGUCGUGGCCUGAUGCGAGCUAAUGCAAAAUUUCAGUCUAGGAGGAGCAAUCUGAAACCUUACCAUUGGCUAAAAUUAACAAGGGCGAUGCAAGGAAGCUUAUGGGCUGAGACACAGAAACUAGAUGAAUUUUGUAGGGCUCCAGAGUUUGACAUGUCAGAACUUGAAACUUUGUUCUCCGCAGCUUCCCCAGCUGCUAAUGAUGGAAAAGGAGGAAAGUUAAAUCGCCGUGCCUCUGGGCAAAAAGUUGAGAAAGUUCAACUGAUUGAGCUCAGGCGGGCCUAUAACUGUGAGAUCAUGCUUACAAAAGUCAAAAUUCCUUUGCCUGACUUGAUGAGUGCUGUGCUUGCAAUGGAUGAUACAGUAUUAGAUAUUGAUCAACUUGAUAACCUCAUAAAAUUCUCUCCAACCAAAGAAGAGAUGGAAACACUCAAGAACUAUGCCGGGAAUAAGGACAACUUGGGAAAGUGUGAGCAGUUCUUCUUAGAAUUGAUGAAAGUUCCAAGAGUGGAAAGCAAGCUAAGAGUUUUCUCUUUUAAGAUGCAAUUCCUGUCCCAGGUUUCAGAGCUUAAAAGAGAUUUGAAUAUUGUGAAUUCUGCAUCUGAAGAGAUAAGGAAUUCAGUCAAGUUGAAAAGAAUCAUGCAGACUAUUCUUUCUCUGGGUAAUGCUUUGAACCAUGGAACUGCAAGAGGUGCGGCUGUUGGGUUUCGAUUGGAUAGUCUCCUUAAACUGACUGAUACACGAUCAAGAAAUAACAAGAUGACUCUUAUGCAUUAUCUCUGUAAGGUGCUUGCUGAAAAACUAGGAGAACUUCUCGAUUUCCAUAAAGACCUAGUGAGUUUGGAGGCGGCAAGCAAGAUACAAUUAAAAUACUUGGCAGAGGAAAUGCAAGCUAUCAGUAAAGGACUAGAGAAAGUAGUUCAGGAAUUGACUGCAUCAGAGAAUGAUGGACCUGUGUCAGAAUACUUCUGCCAGAUUCUGAAGGAAUUUCUUUCUUAUGCUGAAUCUGAAGUAAGGUCUUUGGCUCAACUUUAUGCCAACGUGGGUAGAAAUGCAGAUGCAUUGGCUUUAUACUUUGGUGAAGAUCCAGCACGUUGUCCAUUUGAACAAGUUGUAUCUACGCUGCUCAACUUUGUGAGGUUGUUCGUAAAAGCACAUGAAGAAAAUUGCAAGCAGAUUGAACUAGAGAGAAAAAGAGCAGAGAAGGAAGCAGAGAAUGAGAAGUUGAAGCUAGCUGCUGCCAAGAAGGAGUCUGAACAGAUGAUGAGGACCACUAUAAAGAGUGGGGAUAUUAAAUGAUAUGAUCCUUUGAAGGCCUAAAAACAAGAGUUGUUCCACAGUGAUAAAGAUCCCAUGUGGUUGGAUGAAGAAAACCCUUUGCACAAGUGCAAAAUCAUCUUGUUCGUGGCUGCAUUGACAUUGAUGAUGACCCUAUAACUCAAGUUCUCUAAUGAAAGAAAUGUCGUGCUCAUGGCAUACGGCUGAGGAUUUUGUUCAUGUUAAAAAAGCAGUUUUAUCGUGGUCACUUCAAUGAGGAGUGGUGAACUGUCAGUGUACAAAUUGAUCUUGUUUUACUCUCCUAGUCAAAAGUUGUGUACUCACAUUAGCGAUGUAAAUGUUAAUCCAGUGGUAUAUCCCCCCUAUAAGAUAGGGCAGUAUUUGGAUUUAACUUCAACUUGAGUAGAGGCACCGAUACUGAGUUUUCAUUUAAAGCCCUUAUGCCUUACAUCAACUGAUGAAGGAAAAUGCUUUGUAAAUAUUGAACUUUUGGUUAGAGUACACGUUAUUCAUUUUACUGAAAACUGCUUUGGUUUUCUGUAUCAAAUCCCAUCACCCCUUCGAUCAAAUAGCCCUUGGAGGAAUCCUUAUGGCAUGCUUGGAUA